GUGGAUUAGAUACCCUGGUAGUCCACGCCGUAAACGGUGGGCACUAGGUGUGGGGACCAUUCCACGGUCUCUGCGCCGCAGCUAACGCAUUAAGUGCCCCGCCUGGGGAGUACGGCCGCAAGGCUAAAACUCAAAGGAAUUGACGGGGGCCCGCACAAGCGGCGGAGCAUGCGGCUUAAUUCGAAGCAACGCGAAGAACCUUACCUAGGCUUGACAUGCAGGGAAAUCUGGCAGAGAUGCCAGGUCCUUCGGGG
rnacentral:rRNA from 1 species